rnacentral:pre_miRNA from 1 species
GAGAUACCCCUCUGGGGCAAGACUUGCUUCAAUGGGGCUUUGGUGCUCACUGAGUCUGCCCCCUGAGUGUGUCCUU